GAUGAACGCUGGCGGCGUGCCUAAUACAUGCAAGUCGAGCGAACAGAUAAGGAGCUUGCUCCUUUGACGUUAGCGGCGGACGGGUGAGUAACACGUGGGUAACCUACCUAUAAGACUGGAAUAACUCCGGGAAACCGGGGCUAAUGCCGGAUAACAUUUAGAACCGCAUGGUUCUAAAGUUAAAGAUGGUUUUGCUAUCACUUAUAGAUUGACCCGCGCCGUAUUAGCUAGUUGGUAAGGUAACGGCUUACCAAGGCAACGAUACGUAGCCGACCUGAGAGGGUGAUCGGCCACACUGGAACUGAGACACGGUCCAGACUCCUACGGGAGGCAGCAGUAGGGAAUCUUCCGCAAUGGGCGAAAGCCUGACGGAGCAACGCCGCGUGAGUGAUGAAGGUCUUCGGAUCGUAAAACUCUGUUAUUAGGGAAGAACAAAUGUGUAAGUAACUGUGCACGUCUUGACGGUACCUAAUCAGAAAGCCACGGCUAACUACGUG
rnacentral:rRNA from 1 species